GGGGCCCGCACAAGCGGAGGAACAUGUGGUUUAAUUCGAUGAUACGCGAGGACCUUACCCGGGCUCAAUCGACACAGGAAUACUUUUGAAAGGAGGUAGCUCUUCGGAGCCUGUGUCGAGGUGCUGCAUGGUUGUCGUCAGCUCGUGCCGUGAGGUGUCGGCUUAAGUGCCAUAACGAGCGCAACCCCCAUCGCCAGUUACCAGCAAGUCAAGUUGGGGACUCUGGCGAGACUGCCGGCGCAAGCUGUGAGGAAGGCGGGGAUGACGUCAAAUCAGCACGGCCCUUACGUCCGGGGCGACACACGUGUUACAAUGGCAGGUACAGAGAGAAGCAAUGCGGCGACGCAAAGCGGAACUUGAAAGCCUGUCUCAGUUCGGAUUGGAGUCUGCAACUCGACUCCAUGAAGCUGGAUUCGCUAGUAAUCGCGCAUCAGCCAUGGCGCGGUGAAUACGUUCCCGG
rnacentral:rRNA from 1 species